GUGAGUUACUCUCUGGGAAGACUUCACUCAACGUUGUUUCUUUACGCAGGAUCUCAUAUCUUAACAAAGCCAGUGUCUCGUAUUUUUUAUUAUCAAAAACAUUUAAAACUAACAGAGUGUGAAUUAGUCUGAAUUGACAUCUAUUUAAAUAUAAAAAUAAAAUAUCUAAGAAUUCUGAAUUAUUAAUUGUGUUGAAAGUGCAAUAAAUAUUCAAAAUGAAAAGAGGUUAUACAACGUCUGAGGAAUAUAAAAUUGUUUACGAAUGGAAGAUUGAUAAAAUAGAUCGUUUUUUGAAAAGUAAAUUCGCGGUAAGCACUGAUAACUUUAUUCUUUUUUCGCCAACAUUCUCUACAGGAACCACAAUAAUCGAAGAUGAAUGGUAUAUUCGUUUAAAAAUACAGUAUUAUUCAUCGGCGUAUAUCGGAUUAUAUACUCCUGUCUCGAAUAUGACCUUUGCUUUGUGUUCUCUAAAUCAAAAAAACAAGAUAAACAUAAAAUUUUCAAGUUACGUUUUAAAUAACGAAAAAAAUAAAGUAUUGGAAACUAAGGAAGAAUACUAUCUGUUAACCGAAAAUGAAACGGAAAUUUUUCAAAUAGCGCUAAAGGAUUUGAUGGAAAAAAAAGAUGAAUACUUAGCUGAUGAUACAUUGACAUUUUGCCUUGAUCUUACUGUGUAUGAUACUCCUGUUUCAACUUCCAAGAAACUUGAUUUAAAUAUUCCAAAAAAUCAAAUGGCUCACGAUUACACAGAACUUUACAAAACUAAGAUGGGUAGUGAUGUCAUCAUAAAUGUGGGUAGUAAAAAAUUCCGAGCUCAUAGAAGUAUUUUGAUGGCACGAAGUCCUGUUCUGGCUGCAAUGUUUUCUCAUGACAUGAUUGAAAAAAAAGAAAGUAAAAUAUCUAUACCAGAUCUUACUCCAGUGAUCUUCGAAAAGCUCUUGAAGUAUUUCUACACUGAUGAAGUAGAUGAUCUUGAUGCGUAUGCUGAGCGUUUAUUAGAAGCCGCAGACAAAUAUCAGCUACUGUCACUUAAAAAAAUGUGUCAAGAAUCUCUCAGUAUAACUUUAACUGUUGAAAAUGCUUUGAAAAUAAUGACUUUAGCAGAUCGUCACAGCGCCGAACAUCUAUUGGAAUUCACAAAUAAGUUUAUGGAAUCAAAUAUCAAGAAGAUUAUCGAGACUCAAAACUUCAAAGAAUUCAAAAAAUCAAAUCCUCCUUUAGCAUUUGAAUUAUUGGAAAAAUUCGCAUUUUUCAAGUAGUGGAAUUAACUGAUACAGUGCCCAUGGAUGAACUAACAACAAGUACUGAAAUUACAUACGACAAGUUGAUGCUCAAUAACUUUUUUAUUAUUUAAAAGCCAAUAAUUAUUUAAUAAUUUUAAAUAUGUUUAAUAAUUAUUACAAGUCUAUUAUAUUUUAUGCGCAUGUUUACUUCUUGUUUCGGUUGAAUUUAAAAAAUAUUUAAAGUUAUCGAUACCAUCUGGUGGUAAAAAAUUUAUUACGUGGCAUAGGAUAAGAAAACAAUAAAUAAAGAAAUAUCAUCAUCAUUUAACCGGAAGUGCUUAUAAAGAUAAUAUUUUCUCAUGUUUAUAAUACUUGCUAGAUAUGUUAUCAAUUACUAUUUUCAAAAAAUAAUAUAAUAAAAACUGUAACAAAAGUAUAUAAAAAUAAACUUUUUAAAAAUCAACGCGUAGAUUUUAUUUACGCGGUUUCUCAUAAGCGCGCCACUAACAGUAUUCUCUACACUUGUCAAGUUUAAGCGGGAUAACAGUCAUCAUCACAUGGUUUCACAUUUUUUAUUAAUUAUUAAAUAAACUGUUCUACUAAUAAGCAUAUAAAAUAACUAAAAAAUUCUUAUCUGAUAACAUGAUUCGCAAUAAAAAUAAAUAAUUUGAAAAUCUUGAAAUAUUAAUUGUGUUGAGUCAAAUAAUUAUUUAAAAUGGAAAGAGGUUAUACUAAGAUAAGUAAAAAUAAUAUCGUUUACGAAUGGAAGAUUGAUGACAUGGAUAUUUUUCUCAAUACUGAAACUAGUUUUACACUCACUUCAUCCCAGUUCACAUCGGGAUCCAAAAUCCAAGAUACAUGGUGUAUGAAAGCAGUCUUUGAUUCGACAGACAAUGUAGACUUUUACUUGUGUUUAACAAGUGAUCAUCACGAAUUGAAUACAAAAUUUUUAUUUUAUAUGUUGGAUAGUAAGAAAUAUAAAAUAGUUUCUAAAACAAAGCAUUACAAAUCUUUCAGUAAAGGAGAAAGAAUGUAUUAUGUCUUAGUAAAAAAAAAAUUAUUGGAUUAUAAAGAUGAAUUUUUACCUGAUAAUACUUUAACAGUGGGUAUUAAUCUUACUGUGUAUGACAUCCCUAUUACAACCUCCACAAAACUUGAAUUAAAUAUUCCAAAACAUCAAAUGGCUCAAGACUACACUGAAUUUUAUAAAUCUAAAGUCGGUAGCGAUAUUAUUAUAAAUGUGGAUGAUACUAAUUUUGAAGCUCACAGAAGUAUUCUGAUGGCGCGAAGUCCUGUUCUAGCUGCAAUGUUUUCACAUGAAAUGAUUGAGAAGAAAGACAAUAAAAUAUCAAUACCAGACAUUACUCCAGAGAUAUUUGAAAAAGUCCUUGAGUACAUUUACACCGAUGAAGUAUCUGGUCUGGCUAAGAUUGCUGAUGAUUUAUUAGAAGCUGCGGACAAGUAUCAGCUACUAUCACUUAAAAAUAUUUGUCAAGAAUCGCUUAGUAAAACUCUGAAUCUUGAAAAUGCAUUCAAAUUAAUGUCUUUAGCUGAUCGUCACAGCGCUGAACCUCUGGUAGAAUUCAUCACCGAUUUCUUGGUCAAAAACAUAAAAAAUAAUAAUAUUGACAUUGAGGAUUUUGAAAAUUUUAAAAAAUCACAUUCUUCCUUGGCAUUUAAAGUCUUGGAAAAAUGUUCAUUUUCCAAAAAUGAACAUAAAACUAGAAUUGCUGAUACAUCUAUAGAAAAAUAAACAAAAUCUAGAAAACACCGAGAAUUGGAACUACGUACAAUGACUUGGUGCUCAACAGUAUUUCAUAAUUUAAAAACUUUUUUUAUUAUUCAAAUAAAUUAACAUGUUAACUAAUUAUUAUUAAGAAUAUUCCGUAUUUUUUUAUUAAUAAAAAUAGCAAGUGGCCUUAUAAUAUAAAAGAA